UUAGGUGCAAUCAAUAUACCGUAGACAGUAACUGGCCAAUAACCUUAAUUUGUUACCGAGGGAUAUUGUCAAAUGACAUUGACAAGCUCUCCUCGUGUUAGGAGAGCUUUUAUACAGUAUAU
rfam:Kandleria vitulina DSM 20405 Scaffold31, whole genome shotgun sequence.